GGCGAGUAUCGUAUAACGGUUAAUAUGUCAAACUUCCAAUUUGAAGAUGCGGGUUCGAUUCCUGCUACUUGUA
rnacentral:tRNA from 1 species